AAGUCGUAACAAGGUUUCCGUAGGUGAACCUGCGGAAGGAUCAUUAUCGAGUUUUGAACGGGUUGUAGCUGGCCUUUCACAAGGCAUGUGCACGCCUGGCUCAUCCACUCUUUAACCCCUGUGCACUUUUCAUGGAUCAGAUGGAAGGCUGAGGAUCUAUCCUCAGUUUGAUGUCUGUUCUGUGUAAUUUUUCUACCAACUCUUGUUUAAUGAAUGUCUUCUUGCGGAUAACGCAAACAAUAAAAUAACUUUCAGCAACGGAUCUCUUGGCUCUC
rnacentral:misc_RNA from 1 species